AUUGAACGCUGGCGGCAUGCCUUACACAUGCAAGUCGAACGGUAACAGGUCUUCGGAUGCUGACGAGUGGCGAACGGGUGAGUAAUACAUCGGAACGUGCCUAGUAGUGGGGGAUAACUACUCGAAAGAGUGGCUAAUACCGCAUGAGAUCUACGGAUGAAAGCAGGGGAUCGCAGGACCUUGUGCUACUAGAGCGGGCGAUGGCAGAUUAGGUAGUUGGUGGGAUAAAAGCUUACCAAGCCGACGAUCUGUAGCUGGUCUGAGAGGACGAUCAGCCACACUGGGACUGGGACACGGCCCAGACUCCUACGGGAGGCAGCAGUGGGGAAUUUUGGACAAUGGGCGCAAGCCUGAUCCAGCAAUGCCGCGUGCAGGAUGAAGGCCUUCGGGUUGUAAACUGCUUUUGUACGGAACGAAAAGCCCUGGGUUAAUACCCUGGGGUCAUGACGGUACCGUAAGAAUAAGCACCGGCUAACUACGUGCCAGCCGCCGCCGUAAAAC
rnacentral:rRNA from 1 species